UUCCAUAUUAUUGUUCUAGUUGUUAGUUAUUUGAAACAGUGAUGAUGGAAAUGCUUCAGGUUUGAUUCUAUACCUUGACUUAUAGAUAUUUGCUUAUUUUAUAUCAUUUUUAUAUCAUAAUUUAGCUCAAUUGGUCGAUGAUCAUACUAAGUACCUGUUGUUUUGGUACUCACACAACACUUCUGUACCUUUUUGGUGUAGAACUAAGUACUAGAUGCCAUCGUUGAGUU
rnacentral:lncRNA from 1 species